CAAGAAGCCGAAAGGCUGCUUAAAACCAUCGCGAACCUAUCCAUCAGCGUUGCUUCGGCGGGAGGAGGCCGCGGGGCCGGCGUCUGCCGGGCCCGGGGCCGGGGACCCGUACCCUCUCGGGGGUGCGGGGCCCGCCCGCCGGAGGUAUGAAACUCUCCUGCAUCUAUAGUUGAAUCUCUGAGUAAGCAAGCAAAUAAGUCA
rnacentral:misc_RNA from 1 species